AUUGAACGCUGGCGGCAUGCCUUACACAUGCAAGUCGAACGGCAGCACGGACUUCGGUCUGGUGGCGAGUGGCGAACGGGUGAGUAAUAUAUCGGAACAUACCUUGUAGUGGGGGAUAACUAUCCGAAAGGAUAGCUAAUACCGCAUACGCUCUAAGGAGGAAAGUGGGGGAUCGCAAGACCUCAUGCUAUAAGAGUGGCCGAUAUCAGAUUAGCUAGUUGGUGAGGUAAAGGCUCACCAAGGCGACGAUCAGUAGCUGGUCUGAGAGGACGACCAUCCACAAUGGAAAUGAGACACGGUCCAGACUCCUACGGGAGGCAGCAGUGGGGAAUUUUGGACAAGAGGGGCAACCCCGAUCCAGCGAUGCCGCGAGAGUGAAGAAGGCCUUCGGGUUGUAAAGCUCUUUUGUCAGGGAAGAAACGGUUGUGGCUAAUAUCCAUGGCUAAUGACGGUACCUGAAGAAUAAGCACCGGCUAACUACGUGCCAGCAGCCGCCGUAA
rnacentral:rRNA from 1 species